UCAAAAAACAAAAACCCCAACCCAAAUGAAACCAAACCAAACCGAAACAACAGAAGAAUCAAGUAAUCACAUCCUGAGUUGGGAGCUGCAACUUCAUUUGUUGGCCACUUUGAGCAACCUCCAACUCUCUGACUGGCAGACAAGUUGGAAAUAGGCUCCCAUUUUUGGGCCUCCACAAUGGCGAUGAUGAUAACGAGAAAGGGUUGCCUUUGAGUAGAGAGGAGACAGUUGCUGCACACAGGCAAACUGCACAUUAUAUAGGUGAAAGGAGAAACCCUGUGUCAAGAUGAGGUGUUUAGUUUUAACUGGACAAGUUAAUCAGGUGAGGCAAAGGGGGCUUUUUGUUUGUUUGUUUCCUGAGACAGGGCUUCUUUGUAGCUUUGGAGCCUGUCCUGGAAAUCGUUCUGUAGACCAGGCUGGCUUUGAACUCACAGAAAUCUUCCUGUCUCUACCUCCCGAGUGCUAGGAUUAAAGGUGUGCGCCACCAAUGCUGGGCCUAAAGGAGGCUUUUGAUUGCUAGAUAUUUUGAUAGCUUCACCUUGGUAGUCAGCCUCAGGAGGAGGAAGUGGCCAAAUAAGGGCAUAGACCUUAGUGGCUAGCUUUAGGAAUGCAAUGCAAUGGUUUGUUGUAAGGCAGAGGGAAUAGAGGAGAAAUGCCAGGCCUGCCAGAGCUAUGUUUGCCAUGUUCAAGCUGGUUAGAGUCCUUUUACCAUCCCACUGGGGUAUGGAUUUGAGAGUACUUGAUUGAGGCCACAGUGGGCAAAACAGGAAAGAGGAAGUGAUGCAUUUAUAGGAUGACUAUGAACAAGACCUGCAGGGAGCGAGGGAAUGUAAAGACUCUGGGACAGGAGAAUGCCUGUGGUUAGAGGGUCCACCGGAAACCAGUGUAGCCAGAGCAGAGUAAGGGAGGGCAAGGAGAAGUAUCAGGGCACGGCCUUGGAAAUGUCCCAUGUGUAUUUAUUGGUACAGUUCUGUUUCAGACAAUGUGCUGGAGUGUUAAGUAAAACCAGGCCACUUCCUAUUUUUUUUUUUUUUUUUUAAGACUCGGUUUUAUGUAUUCCAGGCUGGCCUUGAACUCCUCCCUUGCCUCUGCUGGGAUCAAGCCUACACUAUCACCCCCGGCUUAAAGAAAGCCAGGGCUUGUGCACACAGCCCUGUGCUGGGGUCCAUAGCUAGCCCACACUCUGGGCACUCUGGGCACUCCUCAGAGCUGUACCUGAGGCUGGGUUGUGAUGAGAACCAAGUUCUGACAGCCUAUGGAAGCAACAACACAGCCAUAUCUCGGCCUGACUUAUGAGAAAUGACUGCUAGCCCUCCCCACCAGGGGUGACUAAACCCCACCGCGCUGUGGCUCUUUCUUUCCUGUCCCCAUUGGCAACUGAAUUUGGUUUAUUUGCUUUUCCUGCAGUGACGUGGGCAGAACUCCAGCCAGCCUUAGGGAUGGCUGUGGAUAAUAUAUUCUUUUCAAGUACAGAUGUUUUUAUUAUUAUUCAAAUCUUUAAAAUGUCAGUCUAUUGAACUUGGAAGUUGAAUGUCACAGGCUGUGGAGCCAGGUUUUUUUUUUUUUCUCCCUUUCCUCCCUGCUUUCCUCUCCUGCACAGUCUGUGGGGACGUGAUGUCACUGUGUGUUUGUGCUCGCUGUGUCUAACCUCAGCAGUAUUGACACCUGUGGCUGGAUCCUUCCUGUGGGGCUGUUUUGAGCUUCAUAAAAACAUUUUCUUUUCAGAAAAAAAUGUAUCCCAGACUGACUUUGAACUUGCUCUAUAGUUGAGGAUGGUCUUGAACUCCUGGUCCCCCUGUCUUCUCCUCCCCAAUGUCUCAAUGCUGGUAUUGAAAUGUGCACCACCAGCUCAGGGCUUCAGCGUACUAGGCAAGUGCUCUGCCAACCAUGUGAUAUUCCCAGCCCUUCCCACAAUGCUGUAGGUGUGUGAUGCCACUCCUGGUGUUUGUGGUGCUGGGGAUCGAACACACAGGGUUCUUCCCUAUACAGGAUAUUCAUAUACAUCCCAAGGUUGCCUUGGCUUGUAACACGCCUGCUUCGGUCUCCUGGCUGCUUGGAUCACAGGCGUGAGUUACCACACUCAUGCUAGCAGCCUCUUUGAGCUCUACAGAUGCCAGAAACAUGCUCCCUUUUCCCAAGCUGCUCCCACACAAUGUCUCCAGACAUUGCCUAAUGUCCUCGGGAGACAUGCCUGCUCCUUUUAAACCACUGCUCUGCUCCUUUCUGCAUGCUCCAUUAACUCAGUCUCUCUCAGUAAUCACUGGCUGAAUUUUCGUCUCAGGUGCCAGGUCCUUGCUCCAUCACCCGGGGUUUUCCUCUCAUCUGUGUUGUGCCCUCAGCCUGUCCAGGCUGUGAUUAAUCCCAAAGAUGUGAGGAGGACGACCAUCAAACCAAAUCAUCAGGGCCAAAUUAAUUAAAACAAGCUUUUUUUAAAAUUCAUGUACAUGGGCUCAUCCCUCUAGGGCGGGGUUCGAGAGGUCAGCAUUAGAUGGAGGAAGACAAGGUUUCUAUAGCUCAGGGAUAUGGAGUUUCCAAAUGGGGGAUUUGAUGAGCAAAAUAGGUGGGAUUACAGGAUCAGAACAUGAGCAUAACUAGUUAGUCCCUCCCGAGACAAAGGCAUGGUUGCAAGAAGGGCAUAACAAGGUUGUCCUAGUCAUAACAAGGUAGUCCUAGUCAUAACAAGAUGGUCCUAGCCAUAACAAGGUAGUCCUAGUCAUAACAAGGUAGUCCUAGUCAUAACAAGGUGGUCCUAGUCAUAACAAGGUGGUCCUAGUCAUAACAAGGUAGUCCUAGCCAUAACAAGGUAGUCCUAGUCAUAACAAGGUAGUCUUAGUCAUAACAAGGUGGUCCUAGCCAUAACAAGGUAGUCCUAGCCAUAACAAGGUAGUCCUAGUCAUAACAAGGUGGUCCUAGUCAUAACAAGGUAGUCUUAGCCAUAACAAGGUGGUCCUAGCCAUAACAAGGUAGUCCUAGUCAUGAGAAGGUGGUCCUAGUCAUGACAAGGUAGUCCUAGUCAUAACAAGUUGGUCCUAGUCAUAACAAGUUGGUCCAAGUCAUAACAAGGUAGUCCUAGUCAUAACAAGUUGGUCCUAGUCAUAACAAGUUGGUCCAAGUCAUAACAAGGUAGUCCUAGUCAUAACAAGUUGGUCCAAGUCAUAACAAGGUAGUCCUAGUCAUAACAAGGUAGUCCUAGUAGUAACAAGGUGAUCAUUAAGGCCAGCUGGUUGCUCAGUCCCCAGUUUUAAUAAGCAGGGUGUCCUGGAGGUGGGGAGAAGCUCCCUCAUCCUCACUGUUCUCCCUCUGAAACCCUUCAGUGGCAGGCCCACACUUUGGAGGGAGCUACAGUCAGUGUAGAAGGAGGCAGAGUGGCAGGACAGAAAGAGGUCUCCUGUGAAGAUGGACACACCUAACUUUGAAUCUAGAAUUCAUCAGUACUUUACUUCUCUGAGCCUGAGCCUGUUUCCUCUUCUUUGAAACAGGAUGUUCCCUGCCCUGCCCCAGAUU